GUGCACCAGGCGCGAAUCCUCCGCAAUGCUCGAAAGAGCGACGGGGACUCCAAGUGCCUACGCUCAGCGUAGGCUGUUCCCGAGCCUAAAAGCUCAGGGAGUAAGGGCUGGGUAAGACGGGUGCCAGCCGCCGCGGUAAUACCCGCAGCCCGAGUGGUGGCCGCUAUUAUUGGGCCUAAAGCGUCCGUAGCCGGCUCGGUAAAUGCCUGGGUAAAUCGUCUGGCCCAACCAGACGAAUUCCGGGUAGACUGCCGGGCUAGGGACCGGAGGAGGGAGAGGGUACUCCAGGGGUAGGGUGAAAUCAGCAAGGUGAGUUGCUGAUGUAACUUGCCUUGCAAGUCACAAUCC
rnacentral:rRNA from 1 species